CACGCCACCACACCUCCUCCUCACCCACCCCUCGCCCAGCGCACCGGCGGCGGCGGCGGGCGUUCACCGACCACCGCACACCCGUCGUGCGCACCGCCAGGCCAAUCGGAUCGGCUGCCCAAGGGGUCGAGUUCCCCGCGCCCUAUCCGUCCACACAGCCGCCGAGCUACGGAGCCGCCGGCCGCGUCUCUUGUCGCCGGGCGGGCGCGGGGAUAUGAGGCGGUCGUCGAGCGGGGCGCGCGUGGCUGAUGGCGGCGGCGUCAGCGUGAGCGAGGCGGCGCUGCCGACGUACGACCCGCUGUCGGCGGCGGGGCGGCGGGAGGCGGCGCGGACGCGGGCGCUGGCGCGCGCCGUGCACUGCAUCCCGGUGGUGCUGCUCGUCUGCGCCUUCCUCCUCUGGCUCUCCGCCUCCUCCCACACCCACCUCGGUAAGUAAGGUUUCCGUUCGGACUUCCUGCCCCCCUCGCCCUGGAGGGGCCUUUUUUCUUCUCCCCAAUUUGAGCCUGAGCCGAUGAUGGAUUAGCGAUUGCCUAAAGGUGUUAGUGAUCUGAACUGCAAUGUGUUGGGGGAGGUUUUCCUGAAAUGGGAUCAUUUGGCCGCCGGGGGAAAAAAAGGACUCCGAUUCUGUCCCAGCAUCAGUUAGGGCGCGCGAGCAACAUUGCAGCUGGAGUGCGAUGUGCCAAACAUACCAAUUUCAUGCCUCUAAUACUAACAAUGCAAAAAUAACUAGAACGAACAUAACUAGAAAAAUCUGAACCUAAAAAUGUGAAUAAAAGAAGAUGAAGAAUGUAGCUGCCCGCCUGCCCCUGACUCUCCUAGUCUGUUCCAGUCUUCCAAGUUCAGGAAACACAGGGACAACAUUUAGUCUCUUAAAUUAUUCUAAUUACAGUUUACAAAGUGUUCCUUUUGCUUUGUCAAAUGGAUGCACCAAAAGUUGUCAAGGCAUACCUUAAGUGUUAGUUGUCACCAAGGAGGAAAGAUCCAGCAGACCAGCACAAGUUAACUACUAAUCUGAGAAUCCAGAACAUGGGCUAGUGUAUGGUAUGAUAGGCGAGCAUGUUCAGGUUUGUGGUCUUGUGGACAGCCAUCCUUGUUAAAUGCAGGCCAUUGUCCUGUUUCCAGCAGCCAGCCUCCAAUGUUUCUUCCUAUAUCAAGUCGUUUGCUCCUUCUGCCGCUAUGGGCAUCGUUUCUUCCGUCUCGCAUGUUUGCUUGUUGCACAAUAGCUGUACAGAACAUGCUUUCACUAUAACAGGGAAUUGAGUCCACAUGUUCCUGAAAUAGUAUUGUUGUGUAAGUUUACACUAAGGAUAUGGUUACACUCUGUCGGAGCCAAUUUAAAAAAAAUCAUCCAUAUCAUUAGGGUAUCUGUAUCCAGCUCAAAGUGGCUUUUGAAAUGUGAAUGGAUUGUAUUUGGAAAAUCAUUUAUUUGAUUUGGGUAUCUGCUCCAUGCCCUCACACUUUCCUUGACAGUUAUGGUCUUUGAAGUUCUUCAAUGCGUUGAUGAUCACCUGCCACUGGCAAUAAAGUUUAGCAUAAAAAUGUUCCUUGUGUGUGUGUUUUACGCCACUGGAAGACUUUCUAAUGUCAAUGAUUUGCUAUGUAUGCAGAUUGAGAUUUAGUGGGAAUCAUUAGUGGAGCUGACAGCUAGAAUCUGGUUCUAUAAUACAAGUGAAGUAGAGUUCUGAGUUCAAAAAGAUAGAGCAAAAAAGGUAAAUUAGAUCAGACAUGAUCUGGUAAUAUGCAGGCACGAUAAUAGAAGAAUUAGGAAGAAAGUUGAUCUGCUAGCAGGUUUUCCGAUAAUCUGAUACAUUCUUUUGAGGCCAUACUGAGUUGAGCUGUUUCGGCUCAGUGUUACAUAUUGUAUACAAAUGUCAUGUGUAUUCUUCCCCAACACUAAGCAUACAAUACAUGCUCUAAUAUUCUUUUUGUACAA
rnacentral:lncRNA from 1 species